rnacentral:rRNA from 1 species
UACGUAGGGCGCAAGCGUUGUCCGGAAUUAUUGGGCGUAAAGAGCUCGUAGGCGGUCUGUUACGUCCGCUGUGAAAACCCAGGGCUUAACCCUGGGCUUGCAGUGGAUACGGGUAGACUAGAGGCAGGUAGGGGAGAAUGGAAUUCCCGGUGUAGCGGUGAAAUGCGCAGAUAUCGGGAGGAACACCGGUGGCGAAGGCGGUUCUCUGGGCCUGACCUGACGCUGAGGAGCGAAAGCUAGGGGAGCAAACAGG